GACGAACGCUGGCGGCGUGCCUAAUACAUGCAAGUCGAGCGAGCUGAAUUCAAAGAUUCCUUCGGGAUGAUUUGUUGGACGCUAGCGGCGGAUGGGUGAGUAACACGUGGGCAAUCUGCCCUAAGACUGGGAUACCACUUGGAAACAGGUGCUAAUACCGGAUAACAACAUGAAUCGCAUGAUUCAAGUUUGAAAGGCGGCGCAAGCUGUCACUUUAGGAUGAGCCCGCGGCGCAUUAGCUAGUUGGUGGGGUAAAGGCCGUACCAAGGCAAUGAUGCGUAGCCGAGUUGAGAGACUGAUCGGCCACAUUGGGACUGAGACACGGCCCAAACUCCUACGGGAGGCAGCAGUAGGGAAUCUUCCACAAUGGACGCAAGUCUGAUGGAGCGACGCCGCGUGAAGGAAGAAGUAUCUCGGUAUGUAAACUUCUAUCAGCAGGGAAGAAA
rnacentral:rRNA from 1 species